rnacentral:lncRNA from 1 species
UAGCACGGUGGUCGAUCACCGAGGGAUGGCCGGUCCUUGCCACCAGCGGCCGCACUCCCGACGUGCUGAGCGAUUGGGCCCAUAGAGGCUUGCUCCCAUCCUCCUCCUCCUCCCAGAGUACGAUGGCAAUGGCGACAACAUCCAUUAGAUCCUCCUGUGCCUCUGCUCGCCUUGCUUUCACCACCGGCCAGCCGUGCAAAUCCAUGUAAAAAAGUUCAGGCAAAAUGUGGAUCCCUGUACAAAGUUCAGGUUAGUUCAGUAUAAAAAGUUCAACUAAUUUCUGGCAAUGUUUAAGUUGAGUGAAAAAUUCAAGCUCAGUUCAGUCAAAAAAAUUAAGUCAAAAGUUGCAUGAAGCCCAUUCUGCUUGCGCUGGUGCGCUCCUGCUGUUUGUUGCUGCAGCAGGGUGAUGUGAGUGUGAGAGAGAGAUAGCAAAAUGGAUCUUCCACAUUGACUAACUCGUGACACACUCGGUUCAAUUUCUUGAUUUAGUUCAAUUCAAUUCCUAAUUUUGUUUCAGUUCAACAACUGCUAUCUCUCUUAGUUUUGAUGUUUAAUUACAAAGUCUAUGUACAUUAACAGCAAACAAGUUAAAGUAUCAAUAAAUGGAAGUUUGGGUAUAGAGAAUUUGAUGCUUGUUGGGUGUAUACAGGAGUAUAAAUGGAUUUUCUUCUUGUUGAACG